GGAUAUGGAAAACCUGUUAUAAGGAGUACAUCCUGUAUUAAACAUUGUGACUAUUAAGUUAACAAAAUAUGUUUUGUUUCACAAAAGAAACUUGUACAACAUUCAUUUACAUAUACCAAACCCCAUUGUUUACUACGGGUAGCCCAUACUACAAGUGUAUCUAACAAAUAUAUACAUUACAUCAUUCCAACAAAAGGUGUAGUCUUGAUACAAAAGGCAUGGCCUCAAAAGACUUUCAAUAUGAGCAAACAGCAUCCAAUCACAGUAAAGCAUUGCUCAAGCAUUCUUUCCUGCAUAGGUCUUCUGACCUGCAUCUAUAGGUGGAAGGAAUAGGGUGAGUUCACAACUCAGUAGGAAAGUUUAUAACCAUCCUAAGUAUACCCUUAAAAACCUUGAAUUAAACGUUUAAUAACAUGCAUGAUAAACAUUUCAUAACAAUUAACAAAUGUGUAAUCAUGUCAAACAUGUAUGCAUGUGUUUGUUGGUUUCAUCAUUGCUUUUCCCAUCCAUCCUUUCACAACUGAUAAUUUGCUGACUCCCAACAAUCUACACAGCAGAUAUCAAUGCUCCACAAGAUACUCGAUCAAUAUAAUAAUGACUAUUCUGGGACAUCACCCAAGGGCAAGUCAUACCCCGUGUCUUUUGGGACUCAUACCCAAGGGCAGGACCAACCCCGUGUCUUUAGGGACUAAAACCCAGGGGCAGGACCAACCCCAUACACCCACAUCGGAGUGUCUUCCUCGAGGGCUUUAGGGACUUUCACCCAAGGACCCACGGUCCCACAUAAACAAUAUAUCAAAUGAUAAGGCCUGUAGCAUCACAUAAGCACUUCGCCACCAAUAAAUUCUCUGAAUAUGAUCUGUGAUAAUUCCAUAUCCUACUUGCAAUGCAAUCACACCAUAAACCAUUUCGACAACAGAAAACCACGAAUAUUCAUUCCAAUAUACGUUCCAACAUCAUGGUAACAUUUCAAUGCAAUAAACCGAGAUGCAAUGACACUUUAAAAGAUUUGAUGAAAUCAUAGAAAUAACAUGAAAUUCCAACAAAUAAUUCAAGGAAAGAAAUCAGAUACACCAUAGAAUAGCAUAAAAUUCCCUACCUUACACCGACUUCCUUUUUGUGUUUCUUCUAAGUAGGCGAUCUUUGCCUAUUAUGAGGAACUGAAAUGAAACAACAUAAUUUAGGUUUCCUAACCAUGAAAAUUUAUAUAGUUUAUUGUUGUAAAUUUUUAAUUCUAAAGUUCUCUAAUCUAUAUCCUACAUGUUUACAGAUCAAAUUAGAAUUGAAUUAAACAAUAUUUGCAAUGCAUAUUAAUUUCCCUAAUUAAUUACCAAACACUAAUUCUUUUUAUUUUCUUAAAGCCUAACCUAUUAACAAAUCCCAAGUGUCCAAAUAACCCAAUUCAUCACAUGUUUACUAAUCUAUUUUUCAAUCAAACCAAAUUAAACAAAGAUUUAUGCUGAUCUUACCAUUAAUAAAAUACUUAACUGAAAAUACUUUAAUCUUUAAUUAAUUGUGAUUUUUAACUAAAACAGGUUUAUAGCUAAUUAUACUCAACUUUUACACAAUUUUUACCAUUAAUUCUAUUCAACAUGCCAUUAGGAACCAAAAUAAACGAAAAUUACAAAAUUAAACACUUGCUUACCUCAAAUCUACACUUUCUCUCUCUAGUUUCUCUCUCUAACCCAAGU
rnacentral:lncRNA from 1 species